GACGAACGCUGGCGGCGUGCUUAACACAUGCAAGUCGAACGGAAAGGCCCUGCUUUUGUGGGGUGCUCGAGUGGCGAACGGGUGAGUAACACGUGAGUAACCUGCCCUUGACUUUGGGAUAACUUCAGGAAACUGGGGCUAAUACCGGAUAGGAGCUCCUGCUGCAUGGUGGGGGUUGGAAAGUUUCGGCGGUUGGGGAUGGACUCGCGGCUUAUCAGCUUGUUGGUGGGGUAGUGGCUUACCAAGGCUUUGACGGGUAGCCGGCCUGAGAGGGUGACCGGCCACAUUGGGACUGAGAUGCGGCCCAGACUCCUACGGGAGGCAGCAGUGGGGAAUAGUGCACAAUGGGCGGAAGCCUGAUGCAGCAACGCCGCGUGCGAGAUGACGGCCUUCGGGUUGUAAACCGCUUUCGCCUGUGACGAAGCGUGAGUGACGGUAAUGGGUAAAGAAGCACCGGCUAACUACGUG
rnacentral:rRNA from 1 species